UAUUGGUCAAUGGGCGGGAGCCUGAACCAGCCAAGUCGCGUGAGGGAAGACGGUCCUAUGGAUUGUAAACCUCUUUAGGCGGGGAGCAAUGCCGGGCACGCGUGCCCGGAGGGAGAGUACCCGCAGAAUAAGCAUCGGCUAACUACGUGCCAGCCGCCGCGGUAAUACGGGGGAGGCGAGCGUUAUCCGAAUUUAUUGGGUUUAAAGGGUGCGUAGGCGGAUUCUUAAGUCAGCGGUAAAAUGUCCGGGCUCAACCCGGGCCGGCCGUUGAAACUGGGGGUCUUGAGUGGGCGAGAAGUAUGCGGAAUGCGUGGUGUAGCGGUGAAAUGCAUAGAUAUCACGCAGAACUCCGAUUGCGAAGGCAGCAUACCGGCGCCCUACUGACGCUGAGACACGAAAGCGUGGGGAUCGAACAGA
rnacentral:rRNA from 1 species